AUGAUUGUCUAAGGAGAGCGUGGAUUAGCCACCGCCGAAGGAGCAAAUUGACUGAGAUUUUUCCAAUGGUCUUUGAAUCUCUCAGGUAACUGUACUUUGACAUGAUG
rnacentral:ncRNA from 2 species